rnacentral:rRNA from 1 species
CCCUUAGAUGUCCUGGGCCGCACGCGCGUUACACUGAUGUAUUCAACGAGCUUAUAACCUUGGCCGAGAGGCCUGGGCAAUCUUGUUAACGUGCAUCGUGAUAGGGAUAGAUUAUUGAAAUUAUUAAUCUUGAACGAGGAAUUCCUAGUAAACGCAGAUCAUCAAUCUGCAUUGAUUACGUCCCUGCCCUUUGUACACACCGCCCGUCGCACCUACCGAUUGGAUGGUCCGGUGAAGCCUCGGGAUUGUGGUUCUUGCCGCUUUAUUGUAGCGUGACCGCGAGAACUUGUCUAAACCUUAUCAUCUAGAGGAAGGUGAAGUCGUAACA